UGGUCGAUCCGUUUAUCUGUGGUUCGUUUGGUUGGUCUGUAGGUGGGCGGGUCUGUCGGUCUGUUGGUUGAUCCGUCGUUCAGUUGGUUUGGAGGUUUCUCCUCCUGCAGUUAAACCAUCACACUGACACAGAUUUAUAGAGUUGAAGUGAGUUGGAUCAAAUCAUUGAAUGUAAAUAACAUCAAGUCUGACUCUUAACAAGAUGAGAUUACAGUGGGACUGAAGGAAAGGUCGACCUUCUGUGUGUUAACUACUGGAAGACAUUUGUAUUUGUUACUUCUCUACCUGUGUGUGUCAAUAACUCGUCCUUCUGUCUUCCUUCGAGGUAAAAGUGGAUGGACGACCUGACUUGACCUUUGCCUGGACAAGGAGAGAGGCUUCCUGUCUGCUCAUUCUGUAAUUAACCAGAGUAAAGUACAUAGAGGAAGUGACAUUAUGGAGCUAAACGAAUCCCAUUUGUCUGUGAUCAUGAGGUGCUGGUGUGGAUCCCUGCUGAGAACCUGUCACAGCAAGAAAUAUGAAGGAUGAGAAGCUUCUGGACAAAGGGGCGGAGCCUGUACAUGAGGUUACUGUGCAUUAUUGGAUGAUGGGACAUGACACUGAUCUUCACCUGGACGUCUUGAUGUACCGUCUCCUGCUUCUUCUGUAAAAAGUAGAGGAAGUGACAUUAUCGAGCAGGACGAGAAGCUCCUGAACAAGGAUUAAGAGAGGAUCUGGACAAAGGGGCGGAGCCAGGGCUCGCUUGUGGUGGCUGCAGAGUCGUGGAUGAUGGGACGUGACACUGACCUUCACCUGGACUGUCUCCUGCUUCCUGCCUGUGCUUAUUCUGUAAAAAGUAGAGGAAGUGACAAAUCCCAUUUGUCUGUGAUCAUCAGGUGUUGGGGUGGAUCCCUGCAAGAACUAUUAAGGAAGAAAAGCUCCCGAACAAGAGAGGAUGUGGUCAAAGGGGCGGAGCCAGUGGAUGGACGACCUGACCUGACCUUUGCCUGGACAAGGAGAGAGGCUUCCUGUCUGUACUUUACUCUGGUUAAUUACAGAAUGAGCAGAGAGGAAGUGACAUUAUGGAGCUAAACGAAUCCCAUUUGUCUGUGAUCAUGAGGUGCUGGUGUGUAUCCCUGCUGAGAACCUGUCACAGCAAGAAAUAUGAAGGACGAAAAGCAUCUGGACAAAGGGGCGGAGCCAGGGCUCGCUUGUGGUGGCUGCAGAGUCGUGACACUGACCUUCACCUGGACUGGCCCCUGCUUCAUGCCUGUGCUUCCUGCAAAAAGUAGAGAGGAAGUGACAUUAUCGAGGAUGAGAAGCUCCUGAACAAGGAGCAAGAGAAGAUCUGGACAAAGGGAUGUUUGGUUUCUUUAUUUAACAUGUUGAUGAUUCAUGGAUAUAGAUGAUUGAGACCAAACAAUAAAACAUUGCAAAGAGAUGAAUGAUGAUUACCACCGUUAAUAUCCU